GACGGGGGCCCGCACAAGCAGUGGAGUAUGUGGUUUAAUUCGAAGCAACGCGAAAAACCUUACCAGGUCUUGACAUGGAGACGCCCGGUGUAGAGAUACACCUUUUCUUCGGAACGUCUCACACAGGUGGUGCAUGGUUGUCGUCAGCUCGUGUCGUGAGAUGUUGGGUUAAGUCCCGCAACGAGCGCAACCCUUAUGAUUAGUUGCUACGCAAGAGCACUCUAAUCAGACUGCCGUUGACAAAACGGAGGAAGGUGGGGAUGACGUCAAAUCAUCAUGCCCCUUAUGACCUGGGCUACACACGUACUACAAUGGCAAUUAACAGAGGGCAGCAAUACAGUGAUGUGGAGCCAAUCCCUAAAAAUUGUCUCAGUUCAGAUUGCAGGCUGCAACCCGCCUGCAUGAAGUCGGAAUUGCUAGUAAUCGCGGAUCAGCAUGCCGCGGUGAAUACGUUCCCGGGCCUUGUACACACCGCCCGUCACACCAUGGGAGUCGGUAACACCCGAAGUCGGUAGUCUAACCGUAAGGAGGACGCCGCCGAAGGUGGGAUUGAUGACUGGGGUGAAGUCGUAACAAGGUAGCCGUAUCGGAA
rnacentral:rRNA from 1 species